CUCUUUAAAAAAAUGGCUCCCCCUUCUGUUAACACCAACGAAGUUACUUUGGCACAUGGCCCCUCCUGCACCGGGUGCAAGGUCCCUUGACCAGUGGAAGGUAAUUAGCAGCAGAAUACAUUAAAUCAGAUCCAUUUUAGCAUCCGGUCCGGUCCCCCGUGCACGGUGCGUGCACACUUGUAGUAUAUUGUAUUCUACACACUGAGCAGAGCUGUUGCCUAGCAAUGCAACAAGUCUCCGUAGACACAGGAGGCCUAUGAGAGCAAGGACUGUGGAGCUGCUUCGAACUCUGCUCCAUACGACUGGAUGAAAAUAAUUCAGUAGCAAACUCGGCUGUUAACCACGUUCAUGUGAGUUGUUCUGGUUACUUUGUGUCCACCUCUUAAAAAGAAAGGCUGCACUCGUUUCCCGUUUGGUGGGAAAUGUGACUCCAGACACUUCUGCAACACUUUUGACCUCACGCGUUGACCUAAAGGGACUCUUCUAAACGUGCAACUUCUCUGCAGUCCGUGUUACACGACAUCAUUUUAUCGUUAGUAAUAGUAUCAAUGCACACGGUGUAAAACAGAUUUACCAUAAGAAUCUUUUUCCAUAAAAAAGCAGUAUUUUCUUAGUGCAAUCUGGGGAAAUGCAGAUUGAUAGCGCAGCAAUUAAACUUCAUUUGUUGUUCCUGUUUCAGUCUCUUUAGCUGGAGGGAGAGAACGUGAUGAGAAUUCCUUUCCCUGCGAAGGAUCGGCCUGUUGCUUCCCCUAAUCUCUCCGUGAAAACCGGCCGACAGUCUUUUCUGGGACAGAGAGAGUAACGCGUCCACACAGCAAGCGAGAUAUAGGACCAAUAGUGAGCACAUUAUACAGCCGUCGGCUAAUGAACGGGAGCCUGUGUUGUUAAAGUGAAGAAGACCGACGCACUCGUCAGCAUGAGGGAAAUAAGCAGAUCCUUUUUUUUUAUUCGAGACCUCACACAUCUGUGGUUUUGUAAAGGUUAGACUUAGUGAAUAAACAAGGGGGUCAGGCACUAUGUUUAUCUUUCUAUCCGUUGACGUAAAGUGGAUCUAAUUUCAGCUCGUGCCAAACAUAAUCUCCCCGAGUUGCUUUGUCGUGUUAAGUCACAUUCUGGGAGGAGAUGAAGCAACCGAGCCGUCACUAUUGCUGUCGACACCUUUCUUUUAUUUCAUCUCAGGGUAUGUUUUUCUUUUAAUACCCCACCACUGGUAAGGAGACACGGCUUUGAUACGCUUUGUCUUAAAGAUGUCUGCUUGGAAACAUCAAAAGAAGCUUCAAACCUCCGGCGCGGAAGCUUUUGUUUGGUGAACACGCACCUUCACGACGGGUACAGCAGGCGGACGCGAUACUUUAAGCUCGCUGGAUCUCAGACAGUUUGACAGGAUCUCCCGAUGAUCUGUCGAGACGGCGACAAACAACAUGGGUUCCUGACAACAGAAAGGAGAUUCGGAGGAACGGAGGCCCGGCGCCAUGUUGACAACACGACAAUGCAAACCUUCAGCCUUCAGGCCCGAACUUAAAACACGUGCCGCUGAUGUCACUGUUCGGAUUCCACACGAAGGCGAUGCUGAGUUAUUUCAUUUAAAACCUUAAAGCCCGUAUUAAAAAUGAAUCCCUCGUUAGUGUUAUUUCUUUAUCUCUAUUUUUCUUUGUCAAGUUCAAAGUACGUCGGACACUAAUGAAGAAAUCGCCCUCUCAAGUGCAGAGAUGUUCUUUAGUAAUCAAACCGAACCAAUCAAUCAGAUGGUCAUUUAGUUAACAAUGAUAUUAAACAGAGAAAAUCUAUGAAAUGUGUUUAAGACACAACAUUUAUUCGGCUGUCAGUGCAUUCAAAUGUCCACAAUAGAAAUUCCAGCCCCAAAGUGGCCUUUAUUGUUAAAAGAACCCCCCCCCCCAGUGACCUCGCUUUGAAUGCUGUUGACAUGUCGAGCACCCAGUGUUCAGUCAUUCGUUUGGUUACACGAGCUCCCAAAUUCCCAGUGAUGAGGUCAAGUGUGGUGUGAUGCCACAAACUGCCCUCUCUGGAGGGUCAGCAGGCUUGACAGCAGGGCAGUUCAGCUUAUAUUGGGGGAGUAAACACAAAGUCGACCCCUGGCGGCGCCGCCGCCACUAGGCCGACAUGUUCCCAAAUUAAAAUGAAACUAAAAUCCUGACAUUUGCUGUAUUUCUGAUGAAACGUGUUGCUGAAGCAGACCAAAUACAGAGCAAUGUAACCUAUUUUAGUAGUAUUCUAGCAUAGCUCUUUUGUAUCUGCUGCAGAGAAAGGAAGCAUAUGUAAGCUGCCUUAUUUCAAGCUGCAGAGGGUGAUGCAGAGGAUGAUGUAAUUAGAAGUAAUAGGCAUGCAAAUUUGUUUUCACCUUUCGGGGGAGGAUCAAAGCGAGAGAGAGCGGAUACAAAACACACAAUGUGACCAGCAUAUGGAAACCUUUGACAAAUGUAUUAAAGGCAUUUAUUAAUUCAACAGGAAACCACCAAUCGAAUGCAAAGCAUUUCAUUUAAAUCCUCCUUGUAACUGUAUCCUUCUCAAAUAACCAGUUUUAUUGGGACUUGAAGCAUUUGUCUACCUUAAAGUUAAACAUGUGCCUCUAUAUAAUUAUAUGAUAUUUAAGGAAGUUUGUUCGACUUCUAAGCGGUUAAAAACGGGAUGAUACAAAUGGUCAGCGCUGUAGUUUACCGUGUACCCUUGAGCUGGUGGACUGACAUUUUGUUAGCCUGUACCUCCAGUUCUCAGAGGUCCUGGUGAAAUGGCGGCAAUUUUUCACCUCCCCGGCAUCACAGACAGCACGCAGGCUUUAGAGCGGAGGCUGGAGCUGAAAGGAGUGCAGCUGGAGUUAUUUUUCUCCUCUCUUAUAUCCAAUGUUAUAGAUCAUCUUCACUUCACCCUUUCACCCACAAUAGGAGGGAAUUGCAACCCGAUGGGUUUUGCAGUUCCUGACCAAAAUGGGUGCAAAGGGAGACUUUUACGGCUGGUUGGAUGGAAACAAAGAGGAAUCUCCAAGGUAAGCAUGCACAGUUUAUAUAUAUAAACAAUGAUAGUGUAACACAUAAAACGUAUUAUAUCCAGGGCAAUUUACAAGAUAAUGAAUUCUUAUUGCAUGGAUUGUUUUCUUUUUGCAGCAGGAAUCCUUCAAAAACCUUUGUAUCUUCUUCCCUGAGCGAACCAUGGAAAUGCUCGACUGGGACGACAGAACAAAGACAUCGGACCUGCUGGUCGUCCCAAAACGUAGAGGUCUGUGGCGCAAAACACAUAAAAACAAAUUGACUUGCCGUAAAAAAUUAAUAUGUCAGAAUGGUUUAAUAUAAUUCAUUUUCAAACAUUUUACCUUUUUGUUCUUCUCCGUCAAAUUCCCACGAAAAUAAGCAGCGUUCUAUACAGUUUAUUCUUUUCAAUCGUUGAUUCUCCUUCAGCCAAAACAACACGUUGGACCGAACAAUCAAUCAGUGGUGUACCAAUUACAACUAUUUCUUACUUUUACACAUUUACAGUACAUUUACACACAACCAUCUGUGUUUAAAAACUGGGAUAACCGGGAUGUUAAGUGGGAUCAAUGGUUCAUUAGCAUCUUGUAUUUGUACGCUUAUUUAAAUAUUUUUGUCAGCAUGUGCGAAAGAUUGUAGGUAAAAGCCGUGAAGUAUUGCAGUUUUAAUAAUAACUAUAGGGCCACUUCCGGUCUGCUAACCAUUGACAGCAUCUGUAGUCAAACUCUCGUAGAGUAAGGAAGGGUAAUCAUUAGCCGAAGGGGAAAUCCAAAGGUCGAGGUUGUUGAGGGAGGCAUGAAACGUGAGGAGGUGAACCCAAAGGCAGGUGAGGUGUCCGGCCGAGGUACCCACAGGUGAGUGAAGGUACAGCCCACCUCUUCUCCCAGCAUGCCAUCGAGAAUGGUGUUCGCCUGAGCAGACUGACAUUAAAGAUGCAAGAGGCAACGUCAUCUUCAACGCCUACCGAUGUUACCUGAUGGUCAGGAACUGACAACAUCAACACGAAAAAACGCACUCGCGGUCUAAAUGUGUAAAAGAUGCAUUGCUUACACAAAGCUCUCAUGACGGAGGAGCGCGCCGCUCUGACGAAUCGUGCAACUCCAAAUGUCAACGUGUGAAGAGAUCACUGUGAGUCGGCUGCGUGGGGAUGCAGCAGGGACGAGGCCGAGAAGAGGAUCAUGUUGAGGGGAAAUUUGUAGAUUCCUGAUUUUCUGUACAUACAUUUCCAAGGAGAAGCUGCUUAAGUCACAGUAGAGCUUCAUUGUUGAGAUUAACAUUCUUUUUUCCACCUUAAUAUCAUUCUAUCAAACGUCCCAGGGAGAACUAGAUGUCAUUUCAACGUCGACGAUCUGGUUGAAAUUAGGUUGAAAUGACAAAUAGACCUUGGUCAAAACGUUCACUUUCGCACCAAUUUGCAACAUCUUUUCAAUGACGGCCACAGACGUUAUUUCAACAAUAUGGGCCAAAGACAUAUACCACAUACAUAUAAGCACAAAGCUCAUUUCCUUGUUUAUUGGUUGUUGGAAGCUUCCCAAAGCUCCACAUGCAUAGUUUACAUUACAGGUCAUUUAGCAGACGCUUUUAUCCAAAGCGACUUACAUUACACUUUAAACACAUGGCUUUUUUCACAUUUUUUUGCCCGGGGAGCAAUAAGGGGUUAGGUGUCUUGCUCAGGGACACUUCGACAUGGAACAUGGGGCAGCCUGGAAUCGAACCACCAACCUUGUGCUUCUCUAACCCCUGCGCCACGACGACAGCAGUUUGAUCUGUUCUUUCCCAAGCCAGGCACGCUGUCUGCUACUACAGUUUUUUUGCCAUUGGAAAGCAGUUUUAAGCUAAAUAUAUCUCGCACACUUAAAAAAAAAAAGAAAACGUGUGCCGCCCUGGUUCUCCCAUGAGGCUCAAAGAUUAAAACUGGUCACCUUGGAGCCACAAAUCUGCUGCGACGGACAGCACAGUUCAUUUUAAAAAGUGAGCGGCCCUUAAAUCAGGAGGUUCUGGGUUCACCUACUUGCGUCAGCAAUCUGCCAUCCUGUUGAGUAAUCCUAGUACGAGUUACAGAAAACCGUCCUGCUGCAGGGCUGCUUUGUACCAAAUUUUCCUCACAUUCCCAACAGAAUAUGGAGGCAAUCUCAAAGAAACCCCCUCCUGUGGCGAUCAAUGUGUUUUUCACCUAAAGAGCAAAGGCCACAGUCAAGCAUUUGAUUUUUAGGUAAACAUCAAUAAGUGAGAGACACGGAGUUGCGCUGAUUUGCUUCGGCGCAGCAGGGUGUGGGAUUUAAAACAUGCGCAUGCUGGUGAAGCACUGAGGUCCUUCCUGAAUGGAUUGGUUUGGGAUCUUUUUGUGAAUUCAGUCACAUUCAGUCAGUGUUUUUGAAUACUUUACUGUUUAGUUAAAAGACUCCUGCAACACACCUUUAAUCAUGCUAACGAGGUUGUAGUUUGGACAAGCUAUUAACAAGGCAAAUCCCAACAUGUAAAAUGAUGAACUACAGACACGUUUAGGAGAAAACAAUUGUGGUAAUUCCCAGCGCACAGUUAACAGCUCACAAUUAUGACAAAGUCAAUUAAUUUGCCGUUGUGUGCAUUUGUUUGUCUGUAUUUGUGGAAGGUGUCUGGACUAUUUGCUGGAUGAGAUUGACCUCACCAGAAAAGCCAACGUUAUGGUGGCUUCCCAUGAUGGAGACACAGAGAAGCACGCUUUUAAUCAUACCACUGCUGAAAAAUUGUUUUUUUUACACAUUUUUUCCAUCUGUACAAAUGAGUAUCUGUUCAUUUUACUCCCUCAUUCAAAAUGGAUGAGCUGGGUCUCUUAGCCGGAGAGAACAAAGUGUCCUGCGGUCAACUCGUGUGCGCGUGUGAUCCGAUCAGCUUCCCACUGGGCGGGAAGAAAAACACACUCAAACCCAACCAACCGGUGACCGGGCCCCGACCGGCCCUGCCCUACCCGGGGACGAUUUGACGGUUUGAGGUCAGCCUUCGCAAGAUACGUAUCCGCCGCCCUUCCCUAUAACUCUCAGCCAUGCCUCUUAAAAACCCUUCAGCUGCACUCCCAUCCGCCCCGCGGACCACUCGGACUGCAUAAAGUGCACAUGCUGGAGUCAGUUUGCAGCCAGCGAGGUGAUGUUUGAACCGGGACGCUCUGGUAUUGAUGAGCUGUCCUAACGCAGCGCUGCCGCCGGCUCGCACCGCUUUGUUAGUCAGUCAGAGACGGACACGGAGGUGGCGGGCGGUUGUCCGUCAAGAUGAAACGGCCUUGACCGGCUUUGAAGGGAAACCGACACGUUGUUUCUUGUGGUUUUCUCAAAAAGAUAAAGCAGUGAGUCCUGCCUCUUCGAAUCUUUAGACAUGGGAGACGCUGCGUGGGAGUUGAGACCUUUGUUAUGUGCCUGUGCUUUACUCCACAUGGUUUUAUUUGUAUUUUUUUUUUUUAGAGCUGCCAUAUUCAGCUUUCAUUUUAUUUUCCGACAUUUGUCUGGUUGUGUUUUGCAGCGGAUUGCGGAUUAGUCAAAAGGACAUUUAUUUCAGCCGAGGGAAAACAGUCACAGUAUGAGAGCCAGACUGGCAGACAGCAGCUUCUCUAAUUCCAAUGCAGCAAACUGAGGUCGCCUGUACAAAUGCAACAAAUGUGCUUGAUUAGAAGGAUCGUAGCAAUCAGUCGACGAGGGAACCGUGUAGAGAUGGCGUCCAGGCGGGAUGUGCUCCCCUGAGCGCGUCAGAAAUUACAUUCUCCUAAAACUGUCCCAACUGAGCAUGCAGCUAUUCCAUCAAAAAUGACAUCUCAACAAACCCUGUGAAGAUAUUUAGAGACAGAUUUAGAGACAGGGAUUUUUCCAAACAUCUUGCCAUUCUCAUCACGUUCCUCUUUUCUUUUCUCCCGUCCCGUCCGCUGCGAUCGCAGGCCAGGCUCGCUUCCCAGUCGAAGUACGUUCCCUACGGGCCGGUGGACGAGGUGAUGCCGCACCUGUCUCGAGGAGCCCAGGAGAACCGAGGCUUCAUGGUGGAACCGAGGGGGGGGGUCUGAAACGCCGACUCGCCUCUGGGGAGCUUCUGUUCUGAAAACACAGAAGAAGAGAGACAGAGAGUGGGGGGGAACGGAAAGUUUGAGCUCCAACAACACUUUUUUUUCUCACGAGUGUCCCAUUCUGCCGCUUCCAGCAUCACCGUGCUAUGGAUGAAAAAACGACACGUCAAAUGUGUUCAGCAGGGCGCUUUUAUCACAGCUGAAAAGAUGCAAAUAACAUAUCACACAUGCUUAAAAUACAUUUUUACGAUUUCCCUCCCAGUCGGUCCGUCAUCGCUGACUGGUUUGGGUUUUUCGUGAUGUCAUUUGGAGCAGUCGGAGAAGAGUGAAGAAGUCACCGGCGGAGGCGGGUGGCACAUUACUCUUACUCUCCUCCUCGAUCACCUAAAACCUUUUGUUCCGUUCCUUGUGUAUAAUAGAUCAUUAAAGCGCUUUCAUGCCUCCUCUUUCAUGCUGGUUUCCCUUUGAAAGGGACGGGGAUGGUGCCGCACGCCUCAGACUGGGUGACAACAAAAAGGAACACAAUGAGUUUCUCGCAACAUUUGCAGUGUAUGUUUCCACAAUACCACAAUACCGACAUUGAAUGUUGCCGUUUUUGGCUAUUUUGGGGUAAGUGAUAUAAUAACAAGUGAUAGUAACGUAAUAAUAAGUAUAAGUGAUGGUAAUAAAAUGCACUGUUUGACUCAUUCACUGAUAAUGGAUGAGUCAAACAUCUGACUUUCCCCCAGGAGACCUCUGUUGAUGAUUCACAUUGAAUCGAAACUCAAUGUUUCCUUUUGCUUGUCAUGUAACUAUUCUAACACUAAUCAUGUAUGUUUUUCUAACCUUAAAAGGUGCUUAUAUGAGAUCGAAAGCCUUUUAGAUUUUCUCUCAACAGCUCUCAGCGGCCGUGGCCAAGCUGGAUGCUCACACCCAGCGGUGCUAAUGGCGCUAAAAGGUGCAAUCGGCAGCAGCAGAGUGGCUGAUGGAGAUAACAUCUCGACCGCCAAUUCAAUCAGGAGACGCUCGGUCCGAACUGACAAACAUUUGUUACGCCUGUAUAACAUUGUAAUAGUGCACAGUCUUUGACGAGUGGACUCCAUCCUAAACCAGGAUAAUCAAGGGGCCUGCGAUGCUUGAGUUCUGCUCGGCAGAAUAUCCCCCCCGGAGUCCAGACACUGGUGGUGGUGGUGAAGAAGGGAGUUGAUGAAAACCAAGGAUGAGUGAAGAAUGCCUGACAGCUGUCUGGAGGUGCCUGGGGGUGGAGGAAGGAGGUCGCAUCCGGUUUUCGUGCUGACACCUGACAGCAACAACGGAGGGAACCCCUUAGAAGGUUUGACAGCAACUAUAUGAUUGGUUUAGAGACACGGCGCCGCCUCCGGGGUUGGUUGUUAACCCCACCAACCAUCAUUGUGCCUUUCUGCGUAUUGGAUCAAAAUCAUUGACUUUCAACGCAGGAACGUGUAAUGGCAACAUUAAUACCAACGCACACAUACAGACAACAUUCGUUCACAGUCAGACAAUCACGCACUGUUAGUAUACUCAAAGGACAUCCUCCUGAACCCGCCCGCUGUCUUCCUCCCAUCACCUCCUGAACCCGCCCGCAGUCUUCCUCUCAUCACUUCCCGUACCUAUCAAUCCGGGUUGAGGGAUGAUUUGGAGCUGCUCAUUGUUUCGAUCAUUACUUUGGACUCGUGGAGUGCAGUAUAGCGGUGAGAAAUGGCCACCUGUUCUUUUAAUAAGAAAAAGAACAAUUGCCCAUCACAGGACGGAUCGGCUACCUGACGCCAAGGGGAAGAAAACCCGGUUUGGUGUGCUCGCUGGUUGAGUGGGGGUACAAAGAUCAUAUAGAUACGUGUGAAUACUUCAGCUAGCGGAGUGUGCAGGUCUCUUUCUCUGCCACAUGCCUCGCAGGUUGCCAUUUUCCUCACAGUUAAAGCUGGAAGUACCUUUUUUCCCCCCCUGGUGAGCAAUGCUUGAUAAUUAAACGGUAAUUAAAAGUUUCUAACACAAUGCUCCAAAUUACAGCGUAGUUUAAGACGUGGACUCUGCAAGUAUGUCAGAAAUGUACCGGCUUAGCAUUCCUCCAUAGAAAGGAUUCUAGAACAAUGCGGCUGGUUGCCUGUUGGUUUAUGAUAACAAAAGGUCACAUUUGAAGAUUGAAACCAUCACAGCAAAUAGAAAUAUGAGUGGGAGGUCAAGAUUUUAAAGGAAAACAGCCAUGUCCUUAGUUUCAUGAAUCUCCAUCUCCUAUCAGUUUAAUAAAAACAGAACCGACAUACGUCAAAUGAGAAUACUAUUCAUCAGAAUGGCCCAGUUCAAAUAUACUACUGGAAUAAUUAGAACUUUAGAAGGUUUAGUUUGCAAACAGCGCUCUGUUGUGUUCUUUUCCUCUCACCGCUUGUGAUGUUGUGUGAAUUCAAUUAACGCAGCGCAGUGACACCGAUCAAAUGAGUUGCAUCGUUUGGAGCUUUUUAGAGCUGUAAAUUAUGGUUUGAGGGUAGUUUGUGCUGUUUGGAUAUUUUUACUCGUACAGUCGGAAACGUUCAUUGCACUUUUGGAACGUUUUGUUUACGAAGAACAGAUCCUAAUGUGUUCUAAUGUGCAUUUUGAUUUACUAUUUAACAGUGAAAAGAAACAAGGAGAAAUGAAAGACGUUUUAAAUGAAAAAUAUUAUUGAUAUUGUGGCCCUGUGCCUGAUAAAAGGUCAAAACCAAACGCGGCCAUCGCAGUACCCCACAAAUGUCAUGCGAAAUGAAUUUUGCCGCCGUGCACAGCAUGGUCGCAAUCUAUAUAAAGUCAACUUUAUUUGGCAGAAAACGGACUUGUUCAGACCGACGCGUGUAAUCGCGAUGUGUUUGCGCCCAUAGAAAGCAGACCGCUACCGCGACGCUCCUCGGUUUGGGGUUCCAAUUCAGUCAUGUCGGAACAGCGGGAGGAACAUUCACCAGACCGGUGAUGCUGAGAUGAAAGCAGAGAUGGUGCAACAGCCAGGCUGCUUUUUCUUGCCGUGGACAAACUGCGAGCGACCAGAUUGCUGUUUGGGUUCUUUUCUGAGGUGCAUUUGUGAGGCACUAGAGCUUAAACCAAAGUAAUACAUGUCCAUCUUAAGCUAUUGGGUCUGAACUGCUACCAAAAUGGCUUGUUUCCCGCUCUAUUUUUCUUACAGAUGUAUGUUUUAGGUUUAUAUUUGUGUUGACUAUUUGUUUAGAUGUUAUUUUCAGUAUCUAAAAUAAGAUUUGUUGAGGUUUUGGAUUAAGUGGAGGUGAGUCUAGAGAGAGUUAAACUUCACAGACCAGCACGUUAUUGCGAUUUCGUUCCCCACCCUGGAGAUCCGAGGGAGCGCCCUCCACGGCUCCUCUCCCCAACCUGCCUCCUCUUUGACAUCUUUCCUCGUUGCCUUUUUGCACCCGCCCCUUGAUGAGGAGAAGAGGUCCAAGUUUGUCUCCUGGCACACCUGAUCUCAACCCCCCCCCCUUGAUGGAGUGGGUGAAGGGCUUAGGAGGCUGCAACUCCUCCACCAUCCUGCGCUUCAGCCCCUUAAAGUGAUCUAUUGCUCGUCGUUCCUUUUAGAACACAGUAAAUAAUUCCAUGAUCUCAAUGGACGUCCUGAAUGAACACGACUGAUUUGACCUUUAAAUCCAAGUUGUGGUUUCGCAUUGAGAUGAGACUUUAGAAUGAAAAGACAUGCACUACGCAGUGGAUGCAUUGAAUAGAGUUAAAAGAAAGAGCAAUUAGGUUAGCGGAGCGUCGUGUCAGCGGCAUUAACUCGUUUGAUUCUCCUUCGAAUCGAAUAUGAGUAAUUGCUUGUUUUAUUUCAGGGUGAUGAGUCAUAGAGCGCCUCCCUUUUCUUACACAACCUCAGGCGGAACGUGACGCCGCAGCCUAUAAGAGCACUGAUUCUUUUUCUUUUUUUCUCUGGGUAAGAGAGCCAUGUCUGGCGAACCCUCAUUGAUUUCUCCCUCUCUCCCUCUCCCUCGUGUUUGUGUAGGCUCCGAUUCUGCGAGCUGCAGGAGGAGGGCGUGUGAAGGGGAAACAAAGUGGACAUCUUAUCCGUCCCCGCUCAGCGUUUCGGACACCCACGGCUUCAUUGUGGCCGUGAUCGUCCUGCCCACAUGAAGAUGCUGAACCCACACGCUGGUUUCGGUGAGCCUCGGGAUGAAAACCCAAGCGUGAAAGAGGAGUUAUCCCGGUGGCAAACACCAGGGGGCAGAAGCAGCCUUCACGGCCCUCCGAACAUCCUUAACGUGGUGUGUGUGACCGAGAGAAAGAGAUCCUCGGCAGCAUCUUCUCAUCCACGAUCCUCAGCCCUAAAAAGACUUUUUAAAAAGGCAUCGUGCCUUCAAACUGACCCAUUUGGGGAGAUUGGUGGGUUGGCUCCUCUGAAUCUUUCCUCCCUCAUUCUCUCUCCUUGCCUGAUGAGGAUUUUGAGAAGACAAGAGGAAAUAUUGGCAAGUUGCUGGGGCACAUUUAGACACGUGGAAGCACCAGCGAUAGUUUGAGGCCGCGGGUGCUAAAAAUAGAGCCGUAAUACCCGUCUCUUACUCUCCAUGAAUUAAAGAACAUAUGGCGGCGGCCCACACGCACAGAGACACGCUUUCUUCUCCUCGCUGCAGUUUCAGAAAGCUCCUUGAAGUCCAAACAUGCCACCAUCACUGGUGGAGAGCACUCCGUUUCCACAGACAGUCGUCAUAGUAAAAACAGUAAUCCCCUCCUCCAUGUUUUAGGGAUUAAUAUCACAUUUAUUCAUUGGCCUAGCGGGAAGACUACUGUCGCAAACGGGCAAAGGCACUCGGACGCACAAGGGUUUGUCUUCUCUUUGUGAUGCCGUGACCCGUGGGUGGCGGAUUGAUUCGGGCAAGGGGAGGGGGGGGGGGACAAUCAGAUCAAAAUGGAAGAGGGAGAGAGCAAGAGAGAGAGUAAGCAAAAUGGGUAGAGAGAGAGAGAGAGAGAGAGAGAGAGAGAGAGAGAGAAAUCUAUUCCAUUUUCAUUUGAUGGAUUUAAGUCUCAUUCAAAGGGACAGACUUUUGACACAUGGAAGAAGGGUUCUCGUUUCCUUGCUUUUAUCUGUGGAAGAACUACGGUGUCUACACGCAGAAUACACACACACACACACACACACACACACACAGUGUGGGGAAACUACCCCCGCACUGUCCUCUCCCUCUCUGCUCUGCACACAAACAAACACCCCUCCAGCGCUGGUCUUUCCUCCCCCCCCAACCCUCCCCUCAUGCAUUUUCCCUCUCCCCUUCUUUGCUCUCAGGCUGGGCUCGGGUUCAGGGGGAGGGGGGGGGGGGUUGCAUUAGCGAGGUCCUCGGUCUCUGGUCUCCAUCACUGAGCAGGAAGAAGGGGUUUCAGACCGAUUAUCUGUGCGAUAAGAGAAUGAUGCUGUUAGGAGGAGGAGUAUCGUCAUGACAGCCUUUGGGCACCUGGGGGGCAAGAUGGUGUGACUCUGAUUUCCCUGCAUGCUCUGCCUGCGUCUUAUCAGUCUUGCUGCAAAGUGCAGGGGGGGGGCGGUGUGUGCGUGCGUGUGGUUGUCCCAGGCGAAGAUUACCUUAGCACUCAUUAUCACUCAUGGUGAAGGAUCAUCACCAUCGCCUGGCCCGGCCCGAGUGGCUCCCGGGCCUCCCUCCGGUUCCUCAGUUCUAAUACCCACACUGGUCUGAGACCAGCGGCAAAGGGCGCGCGAGGAAAAACUGGAAGAGAUAACGCAAAGUAUUGAGCCGCUCAUCGGCGGAGGAGCACACGCCCCCCCCCCCCCCCCUGAAUGCAGGCCACUGCUGGUAUUGUUCCGUCUGACUGAAAGCUGCUUACAUGCUGCACCAGCAGUUUACAAAUCUGUUUUCUGGAAAACAAUUUCCCUCUCGCAGACCUCCCUCACUCUCAUUGUUCUCAGACUCCCGCGUCCCGGGUGGCCAUUUCAGCCAGCUCGCCCCUUGAUCUCAAUUUCUACAAUCGGACGCAUUGUCCCCCCCUCCCCCUCCUCCCCCUCUCCUCCGACGGAAGUCGCAUUGAAGAUCCAUCGCUUUGUGAUGUAAAUGCUGCUAGAUGCACCGCACCUGUGUGGGAAUAACGAUGGGAAUUCAAUGGCGUUAUUGUUGUUUACUGCGGUUUCUGUCGAGGUGAAGAUGAAAACAUUCCGGCAUCCAUUUAAAGGCUUGAAGGUAAAAAUGUCAGAUGGAGACUUCCACUGUGCUCCAGCGCAAAUACAUUAAAAGGGCGAAUUCAUGAGGCUAUACACAGUGGAAAUGUCAUCAUCCAAUUUCAACUAUGACUAAUGAGAUUAUCGUGGUCUGGUUCCCGUUUGUAUUUGGACCAAAUAAAUACUUGUGCCCUUUUUCCACUAUUUGUCCAAAAUUAUUCAAGAAACGCUGUCAUUAGAUCCAAUUGCUCGUUCAAACAUAGUCCUUAAAAGUACAACAGCAUUUAUUAUUCAUGAGUGACUUCACCUUUAUUUUAGUGUUGACUGUGGUGGGUUGUGAAGAAAUGUCAUCGCCAACAGUUCUGAUCAUCGUGCCACACGCCCCGAGAAUAAUACGAUCAACCAACAGACACAAGCGGGAAGGGGAAGAUUUACUCAUGCUUCUAAUGUGCCUUUGACGCGGUUUAAUGAGAACCUGAGCUGUGGAACGUAAUAUUUUUACAGCCCGGCCGGUGUCUGUUGAAACUUUUUAGAGCCCCUCCUUACGCUUUGAGUAUUGAAUCGGAUGAAUGAGCUUUAAUCACUCCUUCGGCGACCCCAGCACAGCAACGCAUGCUUCGAUACGUUUCCCUUUUAAAUUGCAGGAAAACCUAGAAAAAGGUGCAUAAGAAAGCGCCGCCUGGGUGUUUAGACGCAUGUCUGCUUGUGUCACUUUGGCCCACGAGAAGAAUAGAAACGAACCCAAAGGCCAGGAGGAAAGGCAGCAGCGGCGGUUAUUAUCUCAGCUCACUUGACAAUGACACAUGGAGACGAGCCUGUAGACGGAACGGGUUCCAGCACCUCUCGUACCCCCUCCUCCGCAAAAGAACCUGUGCCGGCAUAUCCCUCCCGGCACCGUCGUAGCGCCUCAGGUGUGGCUGAGUUUUCGAACCGAGACCGUUUUGACUUUGAUUUUCGACCCACCAAGUUGCAUCCGUCCUUGUCCGUGCGACGGUGUCUUUACCCCUCCCCAAAAUAUUCAGCGACACGCAUGCCCACACGCGCAGAUUCACCUCGCUCUCCGUCCCCGCCGUGCCGAUUUGACGCACCCUUUCAGUUGUUUAAUUACCGCAGAGGGCCGCGGGACGCGGUCGCUGAUGGGGACAGAAGAGGCUCCGGCCGCUGAGAAAAGAGACGUUGGCCGACCUUGAGGGGGCGACAUUCAUGGCAGAUAUUCCACUCUCACGAAAAAAACUACACACUCAAUUUGAAUUCAAUUUUCCUGUCUUAACUCUGCUUCACAUAUAAAAAAAAAAAAGUAUACAGCGUUUUCUCUAAUCCGCCCACCUCUUACCGCGUCUCUCCCUCCCUCUGUUGCGCACACGCUCGCACUAGACUAAUCUCAUCAACUGUAACGCCGAGCGGAAAUGAGUCCCUCCCUGCCAUUACCGCCUGCCACAUGCACAGGGAUCUCUCACGUUAGAUCCCUCGUUGCUUGUUUUGCCUUGUCUCUAUCUUCCGUUGAGACACACACAGUUCUGGAGAGCAGAUGUAUUUUUUUUCCACAUACACUGGCAGUUCUGUACAGUUAACUGGUCAAUUGUCCGGUGAAACUAAGAUCAGAAACGUAGGUUGAUGUCUUAUGGGUAAUUUAUUCAGACUAUUCCAUUUUUUUACAAAAUGUCAGAAGUUGAUUGGUGUGUUGGGCCUGGGGCAUCGCCAGUUGGAUUGUCGAGUUGUAGUGUACGACUCAAAGUGGCUGCACCCUUGAAGUGGUGGAAGUACAACUCAAUUGCAGAUUUCCAGAAGAAAUCGAAAUGCCUGGGGAGGGGGGCAAAAUGAACCAGGACCACCAGCAAACCAAACACUCAUCGACAAGACACCCAAACCAAGAGACCAAGGACACACAUGGUUUAAAUACACUGGGAAGGGGCAGGUGAUUGGACACAGGAGGAAACAAUUAGGGACAUGCAGACAAUCGCCCACAGGAGAAAACACCAAGGCAGGAAGUGAAGUGAACCAAGGGACACGAGAGGCAGGAAACUACAAAAUAAGACAUUUUCAGUUAGCUAGAUUUUUUUGUACCAUACUGUAAACACGAUCGUUUUUGCCGUAAAAUCCAGGCAUUUCCAACAUCAGGGUUUGUGGGUACUGACUCACUUUUAGAUGCAACCUCACGUGGCCACUUGAGGAACCACAGUUACCGUUUGUAUUUCAACCGCACAAAACGGAAACGUUGGCAUGUUGAAUUGACCCGACGAAGGGUUGCACGCACUGAAAGGUCCCACUGCCUCGACUCAGCGAAAGAAAGGGAUUAACCCCCACUUCUUCCCGGGGAGCAGGGUACUCCACCGACUGUCUUGAGUAUGUGUUUGUGUGUUUUAGGGACAGCCUAUCUGUAUUCUGCAGACUUCCUCUGAAGGUGGGAUGCAGCCAGUAGGUGGAGGGUGGUCUGGCAUUUAAGUGUUUGACACUAUCAGUGGUGUGUGAGCGAGUGUCAGCAUUGUGCGAGCGUGGGCAGGAGGAGGAGGUGUGUGUGGGGGGGUGUGGGGGGGGUAGGGAUUUCCACUGAGCCACAGAGCAGAUGGUGCAGAUGUGAGUAGGUGUUCUCAGUCUCAGCGAGGCCAGGUUUAUCCAGCAUGCGUGUUUUCAGUGUGAGGAGUCAUCUGCGGCUCACUCUCCAUCGAGGAUUCCGCUGCCUGCUAGCUCGUCAGCCUCGGGAUAAACCGCGCACGUUUGUACAUGGGCAGCACAUGCGUCGUAUUCUGAGAGGUGUCGGAAUGAUGCAUCACACGGUGGAGGAGAGGGGUGCAGGUGCAGGGUUGCGCGUUGAGUGUCGAGGCGUGACGCAUCCGACAGCGACGUGUGACUGUGCCUAGUGAAAUUAUGGAAAAGGGAGGCUGAUUCCUCUUAAUAAAAAACGUUUCCCCAAGCAUUUGGUGCCGUAAUAGCAACUCUUUGUCCCCCAACUUUCAAUUGUCGUGGAAAUGAAGUGGCAAGGUCAAAUGCAGCCAACGUUUUGGCCCACUGUCCGAUCAUAAUCAACUAAAUGACUCUUCCACUACCGUCCCUAAGUAGGUUUUUUGUUAACCUCCAUGACGCCUUUGUGGUCGGAGCCCCCCAUCACCCACACUUCAUUAAUAAAUGUAUGAAACAAUUACUCCACCAGUUAAUUAUUUAAGUCUCCAAUGAAUUAAGCAUCCAAGCAAUCAGCCACUUAUGAGUCAGUCAAUCGCUGUUGAUCCACCGGAGGCAUCCGGCUCCUUUCUGCCCUUCUCCCACUUCGAUAGAUAAUGGAGAUGGGAGCGUCUGUUGUUCCCACCUACACCGUAGCCCGGGGCCAAUUUUCAUCAUUACUUCCAUGUUCUCAAAGUAUUCUGCCGUGGCCUUUCCCUGACACGUUGGUGGAUUUUUCAGUACCUGACAAUGUCAGGUAUAGGCUUGUCGGGUAUAAUCAGCUCAGACAUGCUUUGGCCUCAAGAAAUCCUGUCUUCGUAGUCGUUGCUCACCUGGCUUGAGGUAAGAUCCACGUGGAGCUGUCUGGCUGCAAAUGAUGGACUUCUUCCAAGUGAUCGUACCAGCUGGCAUUUAGAAAUGUGGUGAGUUAUUGCACCAUUUAAAAUAACUUUUGGAGGGUUUCAUUUUGAAAAGCAAUUCAUUGUGUAAAAAGGCACAGAUGCAGAGUAUUUUAAUGCUAGUUGGAUUGUAUAUAUUUGACGUGUGGGCAGCAAUGUAAAAAGAGUGGGUUUCAAAAUAACAGAAAAAUGUCUUCUAAAAGAAAAAGUUAAAUAAUGAAGGAAAUUCAAUUUGUUAGUGCAUCAUAAUACCAACAGGGGAACAUGGGGAGAAAACACAAUUAAACUCCACAGGGUAAAGUUUGGCUCACGCUACAGGAGUUUGUGCCCAAUUUAACCCUGAUCCUCCCCUAAUUGUUUUACUAAUUGACACAUGUUAUCAUAUUUUUACUAUACAUCCUCAUGGAUGGUUUAAAUGAAAAUGUGUUUCAAUUAGCAAUUUCAUUAAACAAUGUUUUAAUUAUCUGUAAUUGGGCUGAGUAUAUAAUUAUUCUAUUGUCACACCUCAUGCUUCAUCGUUUCUACCAACACAGCAGAAAGUGCACCAAAGAAAAGAAGAGGAGUGAAUUACACCCUGUCCAUGUCCCUGUAAUGGACAUGGACAGAAAAGUUCGGUAAGUGCUCUAACGAGAGAUGAGUCAGCUGCCUAAUUAGGACAAAGAUCCGACAAAAACACGUCAAAAGGAGGUAAUGGCCUAGUUUCAUUCUGUGUGUAUUCAUGCGUGAGAGAAAGACUGCAGCCAAAUUAUCAAGGUGGAGCUUUUCUUCCAAACCAUGAAAGGGUGCGGAAGAGAAAAUGAUCAAUGUUGAAUCUAAUUCCAUGAAGUAAUUGAGUCAUGAGAUACAUUAUGAAUUUCUUCUGCUUUGAUUGACCCAGUGAAGUCUGUCCGUGUUACAGCCUCUUUACAACAUAAUAACCAAACUGAUUCAGCCACUAAAUUGCACGUUAGCACCAUCUGAUAUGCAUCAUUGUGUGUCGGAUUACGUUGGGCCUUUGAUGCAAUAUGCUCUGGCUCUAUGAAAAACUCGGCCUGCGGUCAUUCCUCCCUUUUCUUCCUUUCAUUAACUCGGUUUCAUUAUGAUUGUCAUCCUCCUUCCUCCAAUUAUUUUACUCUAUUUUUAAUUUCCAUUUUCUCUAGAUCUUCCCUUUCGCCCCCACUUUAGCAGAACACUCUGCUCUCUUCCAUCCUGCACUUUCUAAUGCAAACUCCCGCGACCCCUCGCUCCCUGCCCUGUGAGAAUUGCUGUGACCGAUCAGACGGGCCCCCGUGGCCCAGAGGACAGCGACCGAAGGCGACACGUUCAAUUGGGGAUUGAUUAACUUACGAUGCGCCGCCUCCAGCUGACGGCAGGUGAGAUACCUGGAAAAAAAAAGGCAAACAAACGCACGUACUGGCUUUCCUAUUAGAUGUCCACGCCGACAGUCCUUCAUGCUUUGUGCGUGAAAAUUCCGAACUGAUUGGGCAGAAAUAGCUCCAAUAUCCUUAAAAGUCUGAUUAUGCUUUACGAACAUAUUUGGGAGGAAAGGUAAUUGCUGCAUUGAUUACAUUUACUGCAAAUGUUUUCUACAAUCCAAAGUGUUUUUCUCAUGCACUCUCACUGCCUGGCCCUGCAUUACCCGCCAUAAAAGAGACCUCGAAUAACAUCAACAGGAGAUAAACACACUAAAUUGGAGAGCUGAUAUACAGCAAAAGACACCCAGGCGCGUAAUGCGACACACUUUCCGGCAGCCUCGACGACAGGCUCAAAGCUCUCGGGCAAUAACAUCCGCGAGCAGCUGGUGUGCGUUGCUAAAAAUGGGAGUUGUCUCUUGGAAGUUUAGCGCACACUUCCUGUGUGUGCACGCUUGCACCAGCCUGCUGUGACCGCGUCAGAGGAGCUUUGGGCUGGUUGGAGAAGCAGCAGCCUGCUUGGCAUCUGCAUUGGGGGUGAGUAGGUAAAAGCUAAAUGCGUUGCAGGGGAGCAGCAGCUGAUUCUUUAUUUUAGGUGGAGCGAAAGCAGUAAGGUUUACAUGCAUCGGCAUUUCAUGAUCGCGCAUCAAAGGAAAAACUACAAUCCUGAUCAUUUAUUCUGUUCAUCACGGCCAUUCAAUCACCUUUUGAUGGUCAGUGUCUCCUGGGGCUGUAACAUCCGACAUGUUGGCCAUUCACUUUAACGUCGCAGUACAAUGUCGUUUUUCAGGGAAUGAUACGAUAAAUUUGAUGUCCAUGCAGGGAGAGAUUAUUGCAACGUGUAAACCAAUGGGAGAGCUAGAGGAGGAAAGAGGUUAUAUGUAAAGUAAGUGUCACGGGGUGGACGAUUGGGGACAAUUGAUUGCAUGUUUAUUGAUUUAUGAUUGCAUGGUUUACGACUUGUUGAUUUGUGAUUGCAUGUUGGACAAUCUAUCGUGUGCUUUGGGUUUUGUUUGAAUUGUGUCCUCAAUUGACAAUCGUCCCCAACAAAUUAGCAAUUAGUGGCAUAUGCCCAAAGGACCAAUGGGGAAAGGCCAGGGGCGGAACUUUGUCUUUUUAAGCAGGAAGACGGGACACUGGCAGCACCAGCAGCAGCAGCAGCAGCUGAGGGCAACUGGCAGUCAGACGUCCGAACCAGUGCACCAGGGACGCGCAGGACUUUGCUCCUCCUAUUUUAGCUCCCUUUUAUAUAUUUUAAUCGUUUGUAUUAAAAUAAAUAUUCUUUUAGUAGUAUUUUCGCCCCUGUCUCCUCUUGGGUCAUUGUUUUACUGCUCCCCUCCAAACAAACAAACCUUUGUUUUUUAAUUAUUUCGAGUUCCCAGGGCUUUUACCUAGGUGGCGUUGUUGGCAACACACUUUUAGUUUUUAAGAAGAACCUCGGCCGCUGACAUAAGCACAUUUAAUACAAUUAUAUAACACAUAACGCAUGGUUGUAGUGGGCUACACUCAUAACUAAACCAACACUUACUGCAGAGUUCAGUCAGCAAUCUAAUAUCUACUUAUUAAAAUGGUAAACAAAAAAAGCAAUCAAUGAUUUACCCAUUACUUAAGCAAAACACACACUGAAAAAAAAAUCAAAAUCCAUGCUUGUGUGCAAUAAAAUGUCACGGCACAUUAGGAGGCAGAGAACUCUUCAGAUCACGCUCGCAGGCUAAUGACAUCUGUCGAUACAAGCAGACAGUCCUUCAUCCUGUGUCAAUAGCUGGAAGCUACGUGUCAGUCAUUUGCAGCCGCGCUAAACUCAUAAGUGCCACUGCAGGGGAGCUAUGACACGCUUACAUGCAUAAUCCGCCAACUAUAACCACAUAACACGUGCGAUUAGCCGCGCUGCGCGGGUGCAGCGGAGGACCAGAGGAGCGGACCACUUCAAUCGGGUUUUGGCACAAUGAUGCUCAUUAAUUACAUGGACGUAAUGUCGGCGUUAACUGUUUGACAUUAAGAAAAGUGACAACUGAUGAAUUGUUUUCAUUUCUGGAUUUGAGUGCCCAUCUGAAAACAACUCGACACUUUGCUAUUGACAAAAUGAUGAUGUAACAUGUCUCUGUUCUCCACAGCCUGUCCUUCUUUUGCUAUCUGUUCUUGAACAAUAAUAAUAAUAUCGUGCUGCAUCCGCUGUACCCAGCGGUGGUGGGACACUGUGAUGUUGAACGUAUGAAGGAAGGUGGAGAAAACCAGCAACUAUUGAGCCAGUUAAUUAAGCGAGUGCAUUCCAUUAUAGUUUGACACUCACAUCGUACAGUGUGUACCUAAGUGUCACAGAAAGCAUUGGAUACUAGCAGCUAAAAUGAGCCGGUCGAUCUGUAAAUGCGGUUCUGUCUCAUUCCUGGUUAUUUAAUCUCGUUGUCAGGCAGGUAGAGGGACGGAUAUAGUGUGCAUGCCAUUUUUUGUGCGUACAUGUGUUUUUCCACACAUGUGAUCAGCAGAGUGAUGAUUAAUGGCAUUUAUUAGACCAAGCCGCUAAAUUGUUCCCGCUGGCUGUUAAGCAGACAAAGGUCUAACGUCUGCUCAUUCUCUUCCCCCAACUCCCCCAAGACCAAACGCUGCCUCGGUGGGACUGAUUACGCCAAGAAACAUGCAUAAAUCAUACUUUGUCAAUUGUUGGGCCUAUUCAUUAUGUGUUGCACCCCACUUGGCUUUGCAAUUACAUUGAUUCACAAGUACAAUGCACAAUAGGUCUGUUUACCCUCGGUGUUAUCCAUGCAUGCAGGUGCCAAUUGCUGUACCUGGCAGCCGUAAUGCUAGAUGUGGGGUUUUGCAGUGCUUGGGUGUGUCUGCAAAAAAAAAAAACAUUAAACGUAUGGAUCAUGCAGGAUCAGCUUUGUGUGGGUGUC
ensembl:lncRNA